UUUUUUUCUUUUUUUUUUUGUGUCGCUCUUUUCUUUCUUUUUCACUCAAUCAAUUCUUUUUUCCUUUCUCUCUUUUUCAAAUUAUUUUUCUCUCAGUUUUAUUUUAUAGCUAUGAUCAAAUUCGAUGGGGGAUUACCUACGUAUCAUGACGCCGCAUGAAUCAGAUCUUUGCAUAGUUUGGGAAGAUUGGGAAUAGAAUAAAUAAACUAACUCUUUUUUUUUUCAUUUUUUAUAACACUGAACAUGAAAGCUUUGAGGCAAAAGAAAAAUAAUUUUUUUUAAUUCUUUGUUUUUUUGAAUUUUUUGAAAGAGAUGCUUUAAAAGAAGAAAGGAAAAAAAAUUUGAUUUUUUAUUUUGACUGUUUUCUUCUUCUUUUUUUUUUUGAAAGAAAGACUUCUGAAAAUUCCUUUUCUUUUGAUUUGAAUUUUGAGAAUUUCAAAACUAAAAGAAAAAUAUUUUCGUUUGAAUUUUCAUUUGUUUUCUCUUAUUCUAAAGAAAAAAGUAUAUUUUCUUUUUUGGAUUUUGGAUGUUGCCUCUUACUUUUCGAAAGAUGGACUUUUAAGAAAAAACAAUUUGGAUUUUUGAGUUUUUUUUUGUUUUUAAAUUCACAAAAGUACGAAAAUAUUUUUCGGACUUCAAUGUUUCAAAUUUGUUUUUUUAACAUUUACGAAAGAAAGACUUUAAACAAGGAAAAGAACUUUUUUUGAUUUUUUUUUCUAAUUUUUUUUUUUGAAUUUUUGGGAAAAAUACUUCAAAAUAAAGGAUUCCGUAUUUUGGAUUUUGGUUUUUGAUUGAUUUUUCUUUUUAUUUAUUUUUCCGUAUGAAAGACUUUAGAAAGAAGGAAACCAUUUUUUGAGUUUAAAAAAACUUUUUUUUUAAUUUUCUAAGGAAAGAUUUCUAACGAAGGAACUAAAGGAAAAUAUUUUUGGAUGUUUGAAAAUUGGGGUCGGAACCGAUGAGGUUUGCCUACGUAUCUCACACCCGGUGAGAAUCAGACCUGCGUAGUUCAGUCAGUUUUGACGGAACAAGGGAAACAUGACUCUUGAAAAUUUUGGCUCAUUUUGAAAUGACUUUUCUUUUUCUUUUUUUUUUUCCAGAUUUUCGGUAGAGUUUUAGGAUUUUCAAAUACCUACCUCUUACUCUUUUUUUUUGAUUUUCUUUCCCUAUUCUAGAAGCCGGUCAACAUGCAAGCUGAAUCAACUAGAUGCGCAGGUAGCACGUAAGAUGAAUCAGGAUGGUCUUUUUAAUUUGGAUACACCUGUCCUAGACGGACCAAACCCCUGUGUUGAGUCCCCAAAGUCAAAUCAUGAUGCAAACAAGCGUUCCUACUAGGGGUCCGACAUGAGGCUGUGUUAUCCUAGGUUUAAAACCUGGGUGUAUUGUUCUAGACCUGGCUUACCCGAGCGGACAACUCGAGCCAGGGGGGAGGCAGCGUACCAGUAACCAAAAGAUCAUCCGGCUUUGCAACUUGUCCGAACCUCGUUCUAAAUUAGGGUAUGACACUAACAGAAAAGAAGUCAUGCCAGAGUGCACUUCCCAGAAGAUUAGAAGAGAGGGGUUCCGUAGCAGUUUAUAUACAGUUCAAAUAAUAUCAAAGCGAUAAAAAGCGGCAUUUAACACAUUAGGCCCAAAUAUGUAAUAAACAAUCAGAUAAUAAAAGCCAAUUAUAAAAAUUAUUCUAAACUCGAAUUCUUGAACCCUGAACCAAAAGUUCUGGUUUAUAAUCCCCAACAGAGUCGUCAGAGCUGUCACACCUCUUUUUUACGCGAUGAGGGAUAUAAGGGAGUUUUUCCAAUUAAAGUGACAUUAUUCGAAAUGAGAUUAUUUUAUUUAUUUUUCAGAGUCGCCACUUGGAAUAGUUUAUUUGGUGUCCCAAGUCACUGGUUUAUUUUAAAUCCCAAAUCGAGAAAAUUUUCGACUUUAUUUAAAAGCCUGCAAAACCAAAAAUUCUAGAUAAGGAAUUCUGUUAACCUAGGAGAAGGUGUUAGGCAUUCCCGGGUUCCAUGGUUCGAGCACGGUCACUUAAACUAUUAAUAAUUGACCUAUUAUCUGAUUUAUUACAUAUUUUAAACCUAUGGUGCAUUUUAACUUUAUAACCGCUUUUAAUUCUUUUCAACGCCUUUAGGAUUUAUGGAAUUUUUCUUAAACAAGUUACGAUUUUCAUACACUUGCCGUUUUGGAACACACCGCAAAUCACGCUACAUAAAAUACACCCGCGAUUCGCGACAUAUUUAUUUUAUUAUUAAUAUUCAAAAUUGUUAUGAUCGGGUCACAUGAAAUGUACACCCGAUUUUGGGAAUUAGGUAUCAUGACCAUGCCACAGGAACCGUACCUAUGGCCACGAUGAUUUAUUAAUCGCACCUAAAGCGAGCUACGAGUGUUCAUAAUUAAUUAUUUCUUAAUGUUCACUAACGUCACUUUAACAAUAAAAUUUGCAAUAGUGAGAAAUGAAGCAUCAUAUGAGAUAAAAUAUAUCCAUCGUUAACAGAAUAAUGCGUCACCAAAAUUAAUUGCCUGUAUUGAAUGCAAACGAGAAAGAAUGGAUUUAUGUAGACAUAAUCAAUCAAGCCUUUUGGGUCACGUAUGCAAACUGAAACAUUAGUAGUAUCUCAUUUAACCAUCAAACUCCAAACCCAUAUUUUGGCAUUUUAGACAACACAACUUCCAAUGAACAAACAACAUGCCUUAAUAUUAAUGUAGCUAUAAUUAAUUUGAAAUAAUAAAAUAUAGAGAUGUGCUGGGAUCAAACCAAACAGAAUGCUUAUACUUCAAGAACACCAUACCCGAUAUAUCUUCAUCGAGUUCAUAAACACUUCAUUUUGUGUUAAAACUAAAUUUAAAAUCACUGAAUCCAAAUAAUACUAACAGAUGCAUCAGUAAUGAACCAUGAUUCAGACAUUGAACAGAUGGCAAUUAUUUCAAGCUAAGAACUAAUCAAAGUGCAUAAAUAUAACUAGUAAUAGCAGGUAAAUCAACGAAAGGCAACAAUCUCAUAUUAUAAUAAAUCUGAAAAAAAAUCAAACUUCAGUACAUUAGGAGACAAUAUGUGAGGCAAUAGAGGAUUACCUAGAAAACAACACCGGAAAUGAAAUUUAAAGGUCGGGAAACUGAAAACAAACUCAGCUAUGUUGCUACAGCAGAAAAUCAGCAGCGACAAACCAACAAAUUUGGACCUCUUUUUAUAUACAUGAAGAUUUGAUGAAUACAAAAAUGUAAACUCCACGAGAAAAACUCGACGGAAGUGAGUCGGAACAACGGAAUUAGCAGACGAACAGCAAAUUUAUAACUCAAACAGCCCUCGAAACCCAGAAAUGAUCAAACCAUGAAGCGAAAAUCUAAACGGCCUUUUAGUCUCUUUUUUCGAUUUUUUUUCUCUUCUUUUGAAGUUUUCUAGAUCUAAAAUUAGAAGUGCAAACUUCCUCUCUCAACAAGAUCAAGCGCGCGCGUGUGUAUCCGUGAGUGAAAGAGAUGGGUGGGGCGUGGCUGACUCGAAUUAGUUUUUCACCGAUUUCUGGCAGAGCUCGCCGGCAAUGGAGGUUUCGCGGCUGGUUUUGGCCAGCUUCCAUGGUGAUAGAUGAAGAAGAUGAAAGCAGAAGUGGGAGGGGAGCACUUAUCGUGUGGGAGUGUAUCAGUGAUGAAGAUGAAGGAUGAGAAUCACCAUUUUUUUGAUUUUUUUCGGAAAGGACCAUGGGUUCUGCGCCGUUUGCUUCUCCAGAACUUUUUUAGGUUGGGGGUCUGAUGGUUGUUUAGGGUUAAGAGAAAGAGGGUCUUAAGUAAGGGGAUUUGGGCCGGGUCAUUUUUUGACUUGGUGUCACGACCCGGACUUCCCACCUUCGGGAGUCAUGAUAGCGCC
rnacentral:lncRNA from 1 species